rnacentral:misc_RNA from 1 species
UUUAAGUUUUUGCACUGAAUUUCAUUGAUGUGGCAUGAGUGGUCCUUCACAUGUCUUCUUGGUUAUAUCAAAACUAAUUAUUAGAAAUAUACGUGUGAACUAUAUUUCUAAGCGGUGCAGACGGUGUGUUCCAAGGCACUUCCGUCAACAAAGCAACAUGCCACCGAAACGUAAAAACGUGCCAAGCAAGAAAGAUGAAAAAGAAUCUGCAAAAACCAAGAAGAAAACGAAAAUAUCAGUUAGAUGUAAAGCCCAUGAUCUGAUGAUUGUGCCCUAUAUGUGAAGGUGUUUAUCAAUAAAGAAUUGUAUGGAUCAUUGUUCCUAGGUUGAAAGAUUCCAAGAAAGGCGCCAAAGUUAAAACCAGUGAACCACCUCCCCACAAGGACGAGAGUACGAAAAUUGCAUCAUCCAAUCUUGAUCUCUUA